rnacentral:lncRNA from 1 species
CCAUCCUGCAUUUGGUGGACCUCCUCCUCCCAUGUUGUUCUGCGGUGGUGGUCCUCCAUAGUUCGGUGGAGGCGCUCCUCCGUAGUUUGGUGGUGGUGCUCCUCCCAUGUUGUUUUGUGGUGGCGUUCCUCCGUAGUUUGGUGGUGGUGGUCCUCCAUAGUUCGGUGGUGGUGGUGGUGCCCCUCCGUAGUUUGCUGGAGGCCUCUGUCCUCCCAUAUUGUUAUGUGGCGGUGGUGGUCCUCCAUAGUUUGGUGGAGGCCUUUGUCCAUAAUUCUGCCCCAUGGGAGGUGGAGGGGGUGCAGAGCCACCCAUGUGAGGUGGAGGAGGGCCACCCAUGGGAGGACGUUGAGGAGGAGGGCCUCCUGCCAUGUUCUCUCUUCUCCUCUCAAAGUUUCUGCUUCUAUCAAAGUUUUUAGGACGGUCAUUGCGCCUGUUUCUUUCAUUGGCUCUAGCGUUGUUCCUUAU